UUUAAUUAAAGCCUGCAAAACAACACUUUUGUGUCAGAAUUUCUUUGUCAAAUUGUGGUUUCCGUUCAAUCAAGUCGUAUAAGCAAUCAGUCUUUAAGUUUAAAAAGGGUCAUCGAAAUUCGUCGAUGCUUAGGCUUAAUUCACAGUGGGUUCUUGCGAAAUAGUUGCAAGUAUUUUGUUUAUUUAUUUUUAACAUGGCUGCGGCAGCUGCUAUUGUUGCCGUUCCAUCCGCCUGUCGAUUUGUUUCGCUCGUUUCGGUUCUAAGUUUGCGUGUUGCAUUUUUUUGUAGUUGUUGCUGGUUAUUCCAGGGUGAUUUUGCAUUUUGUUGUUGUUUCGGCUGCCUCCAAUCCCAGCAGCGUUUCAAGGUCUUUUCACUAUUUGUUUUUGCCAAGUUUCGCACACAUCCCAUAUAGUAUAUAGUAUAUGGACGGCUGGAAUAUGGCCGGGGUGUUAGUUUUCUGCCCGAUCUCUCUGGUCUCGGGUAAGAGCGAGAAGUUUUGCUUUGGGAAAAUUUCUUCGCGGGCGCGCUCGUGUGGCAGUUUUUGCUCUUUUCCACUUGACUGACAAUUUGAUUGGCAGUUUGCCUUUGUAUUUGCUAUUGUUGUUGCAGUUGCUGGCAGCGCUCUAUUCUAUCGUCUCCCUCCGGCAAUUAUAUUUAAUUUUAUUAUUGAAGAUUGCAGCAAGAUUUUCGCCCCCAAGGUCAGACGUGUAAAUCUUCUGCUGCUGCUGCUGCUGCUGCUGCUGCUGCUGCUGCUGUGGUCACCGUAUUGCAGUCUUAUGCGUGUCGUUAGCUCUACGAUUCUGCAGCAGCAGCAGAAACAUCAUCAUCAUCGAUGUCGGUCUACUCGCGGCUUGCCUGUGGAAUAUCAUCGGAAUACAAAGCUCAAGGUUACGCAUACGCCAUGUAUGCGGGCCAUACGAUGCGAUUCCAAACGACGCGAGCGCAAUGUCUAAGCAAAUAGACGACAAACAAGCGCGGCAACGCAAACACGGACACUUGUGCGGUCCGUAGAUAGAAUUUUAAGCGCACAUGUCUCUUGGUAUAUGGUGGAUUUCUAGGGUUAACGGCGGUUGCAGCAGAUGCCUUUUAGUGCACACAAAGUGUCAAAGAAGCCAUCGAUCGACAGUUUUCGCAAGCAGCUGCCAAAAACAUAUUGAGCUUAUGUGUGACCUUUCCUACAAAAA